GGCAGACGGGUGAGUAACACGUAGGGAACGUGCCUUUCGGUUCGGGAUAACCCAGGGAAACUUGGGCUAAUACCGGAUACGCCCUUUUUGGGGAAAGAUUGAUUUGCCGAAAGAUCGGCCCGCGUCUGAUUAGCUAGUUGGUGGGGUAAUGGCCCACCAAGGCGACGAUCAGUAGCUGGUCUGAGAGGAUGAUCAGCCACACUGGGACUGAGACACGGCCCAGACUCCUACGGGAGGCAGCAGUGGGGAAUAUUGGACAAUGGGCGCAAGCCUGAUCCAGCCAUGCCGCGUGAGUGAUGAAGGCCCUAGGGUUGUAAAGCUCUUUCGGCGGGGACGAUAAUGACGGUACCCGCAGAAGAAGCCCCGGCUAACUUCGUGCCAGCCGCCGCGG
rnacentral:rRNA from 1 species